AUCCAGAUGACGAGUCCCAAAUAAGAUUAAACGUACGUCCUGGAU
rfam:Schistosoma haematobium scaffold413_9, whole genome shotgun sequence.